rnacentral:rRNA from 1 species
CCGAGCAGCUUUGUAAAGAGAAAAAAACACAACCACACACGCAUGGGCUCGACUCCUCUCCCUCUCGCCCACGAAGUCACCGCCGCCGCCGCCCACGCCGGCCGCUUCCGGCGAGCUCCGGCGCUGCGCAGCACAGCCCCGAGCUCCCCAUGCUCCGCGCCUCCCUCCCCUCCGGCCAGAUUCUCAUCUCCCGGCCUCUACCGCCCGCUCGCAACCACACCUCCAUGGCUAGGGUUCCGGGCAGUGCUUCGUCGGCGCGUCUCCGGCGGCCCCAGAUGCAGAUGGAGCACGCCAUGGGAGUUCCCCAUCCACCAUGGUCGCUGUCGUCAAGGGCUUCUUCAAGGAGAUGUGAAGGACGCCAUCGACCUGCAGCUACUCAAGGUUUUAUUCCACCUUUCCUCUUAUAUCAAGUUCUAACAGUACAUUGGGGGAGUGGGGGCGGAGAAGGCACCCCACCUGAAUUUUCAUUUCUCAAGUCUCAAGCGGCGACAGUACCCGGCAACACGAGUACAGGGAGUGUUUUUACUGGUUACGUCCAAAGUGGAGAACUAAGAACAACAGCCUCAAGGAAACUAUACGGAGAGAGCUAGGAGGAUUGGUUUCCAGUCCAGGAGUGAGCUCCUGUCUUUUGAUUUGAAAUGAAACGCCCACUGGGAGAGGUCUGCAGCUGCUGCUUUCGUGAGGCUGGUCAUGGAGGGGCGCAUGCCCUGAGGUGGGUGGGUGUUAGCUAUGACGAGAAAACAUAUGAAGUUUCUGCUAUUGUUAAGCCUGAUGUCGAAGAGUUGGAAAUGAUUUGUGAAUCUCUGUGCACGUAAAUGGAACAUUGGACAAGUUAAGCCAUGUGUAUUCCAUCUCCUUUAAUAUAUUGCUUGUGAUUGGCCUAAUAGAGAGUCUGCAAGACGUGAUUUGUACUCAAAGCAUCUCAUCCAGAUCACUUUACAAUACUUUUCUUCAUAUCUAGAAAAUGCGUGUAUGCAUAUCAGUUUCGUGAACAAUUUUUUUGAAUAUCCAGGUCACUUUAUGCAUAUCCAGAUCACUUUACAAACAGAACAAAUGCGUGUAUUCCUUUUUCAUCAUAUCCAUAUCUAGAAAAGCAUUCCUCCAUGUAAUAGGGUUUUUGAAAGCAGUAUGCAUAUAUGUUUCGUGAAUAAUUUUUUUUUGUUAUUGCAACCAUAAGAAAGAAUCUUACUGGAUUGUCCUGGAAAAUAUUAGUCAUCUAUUGCCGAUAACUAGAUCCGUGUUAACUCAAUAGGGUGAUCUAGCGAGUUAUCUUGAGACAAAAAGUCGCCUGCAAUCUUAUAAAGUGAUCAGAUUUGCCCCUGAGACUGCAAGGUAUGUUAGGAUUCAUAACAUAUGUAUCUUCUUUUCCUAUUUUUUCCUUUUAAAGUUGUAACUACCAUUUGAGAAUUGACUUAAACUGCUCGCAUUAGUGCAUCAUUUUGUAUUCACCUGAAAAUAAUGUAGCAUUGACUGAAACUGCUCACCAUUUGAAGUAUUGACUGAAACAUUAACUACCAUUGAAGUAUUUUCUUUAUUUUUUUUGACUAGAAAAGCAUGAAGAUGAAUUAAGUUGAUUCAUGUAGAUGAAAUGGUUUUCCAUUUCCAUUUGUGUCGUUUCAGUGAAACAAAAUGAUAUUGCAGCUCUUUUCAUUUAUGUCUUGUUUCAUUGCAUUAUUAUCUUCCAUGAUUUCUUUUUCACCAAUACAUUUUGUUGCAUAUAUGGAGGCCAUCUACUUUUCUGCUGAUAUUUGUUAUUAUAUCAUCUUGUUUGCGAACUUAAAAAGGUCCCUCAAAGAGAAGCGUUUUUCAUGUGCUCCUGAAUCUGGUGUGCGGUAUGAUGGAGUUUACAUAUUGAGAACUGUUGGAGGAAGACUGGUAUUCAGCGCCGUUGGCCGCUCUGCCUACCGAGUGCCACCCCGCCGCCUCCUCCCACCCCCCACCUGGGACCUCACCGCCUGCUCCCCGCCCGGCACACCCACAACGCUUGAGGCUGAGCAGAUGCCAUUGGCCCGUGGGCACGGAAGCAGAGUCCAGGAUGGUGAUGGUGCCAAGGAGGACUCUCGGACGUCGACCGGUUGCAUCGUUGCUGCCGUAUCCAUGGAGUGGCGCGGCUCCAACCACUCUGAGAUGAGGAAUCAGUACAACAACAGAACUUGAAGCUGACAAGGAUGGAUGAUGGUUGGUUUUGGUGGAGAGAUCGGGUGCAUAUGAACAACCUAUUAUCUUCCUUUUUUGUUUUUCAUCAUUCAACGGGACAAUUUCCUAAUUCUUUUUUAGUACUGUCUGGAAAGGUUAUUAGUACAUAUAGGUUUGUCAAAAUUUAUUAGCACAUAUGAGGUUCUUUGUUUGGACCCCCUUUGGCUCUACAUAAUUCUUUGGAGUGGGAUUCUAGAUAGAUGCUUUUAUUGAUUUUCUCCCAUUGCAACGUACGGGUAUGUUUACUGUAAUAAUAAAGUCAGAAGGAGAAGGGCGAGGUCCAGAUGGAGCUCUACCAGUUCCACCGCUUUCAUAUCUCGACUGUUGCUGCUAGCUCUACUCUGCUCAACGAUAAAUUCUGUGUGGUUAGUUAAUUUACUAGGUAAAUUGCAUAGCUCAGUAGCAUGCACACAUGAACGCUCAAGUUACAUGUUUGGUCAGCCAUUCCCUGGCAGCCUAUGGCUAGGCUUCCCAGAAGAUUCCUUCUACAUAACACAUGUUAUGUGUUGCCGAGUCGUACAGCUGCAUGAAUUGGGCAAUAUGUAUUUUGGAUUGGGUUCAAAGAGGAAAUUGUUGAUCAUUUGUAUCAACUAUCUAUGACCUCAAGUUCACAUGAGUCGUGCUUCUUUACCUUCACGACAUAUGACACUCAGCAGAUCAAUUGGUGUCAUCUCCAGAUUCCUCUCAUCAUGUUGUUUCAUUUAUUUUAACAAGUUUCACUCGGAGAUACAUGCAUGAAACAUGGUAUUUUUUUAGUGCG